rnacentral:misc_RNA from 1 species
CGCGGGGAAUUCUUACUGAACUGAACCUCAAUGCUCCAUUAUCUACCCCAUUCAGGCCAACCUUGUGGCCACAAUCAUGUAUUUCAAUUCCUGGAAGCGUCUGGUGGGUCUUCAAAUCCCUUAUUGGAACAAUGAAAGCAUGGACACCCAUAUCAGAGACACCCUUAGAAUCAUCAGUAGGCAACAUAAGCUUGGCAAAAACAGUGGCAAACUUGCCAUGAACUGCAGCAUUGCCAAUCCACCACUUGAUGGCUCCAUCAUGAGGAGUGUUGAUAACAAAUUCAUCCGUAAUUGGAUCAAAUGUUGCAACAGUUUGGAGUCCUUGAACAUUUGACCCAUGAUAUAGCUCUGUCAUAGCAAAACAACCUGGGU